rnacentral:lncRNA from 1 species
AGAGAAAAAUGUUGUAGAACAUCAUCUAUGGCCUAACUAUAAUAUAUUCAUAGUUGAUACCAGUGUUAGUCACCAACAUCCCAUAAUAUUAUCAGAAACUAUUAAGAUUGUUUAUUCAAAAGAUAUUUAAAAAAACAAAAAAAGUAAAAGAUACCAAUGGCAUCAAACACCUACACUCUCCAUUCCUCCAUCCUUUGUCCAAGGAAGGAUGACUUUCAUGAAUCUGGCCUGCCUCCCACAGGGAUGGAUGAGGAUUCUAGACCAUGAUUAAAUCUUGGAAGUUUCCAUCUUUCUUCUCUGAAAAUAGUAGACUCUCCAAAAUUAAGGAAUGAAUAUUGGGUCAAUUCAAAUAGCUCCUGUCUGUAAUUGUUCACAAUUUUUAUUUCACUUUCAACACAAAUAGCACCUGUCUCUCCUUCCACUAGAAGAUAAUGCAUUUCUCUUAGGCUGUUUAUUUUAAAACAAAAGACUAAUGUUUCCUGCUGGUUUAUGUCCUCCACAGUUCCAACAGAGGAGAGGGGUCUGAUAUCUAUUGGUUUGACAUUUUUAUUUUUUAUAUAAAGAAAUAAAUUUAUUGAAGUAAAAUAUUUUCUAAGUGGACUAUGAUCAAAAAAUGAAUUUUUUUUAAUUCAUAAAACAUUUAAUCCAAAUAUAGCAUUUACUUAUUCUAAAAGAAGAAAAGUCACAUGCAAAAGAAAACUUACAUGUUCAGAGUAAAACUUACUUCGCCCCUUUUAGGGCAAUGUUAGAUAAUAAAAAGCAUAAUUUCAAUAAGUGUAUUCUUUAGUAAAAUUAAAAUAUUACCGUCUUAUCCCUUUUUCUCUCUCCCUUUCCUCAAAUAUAGUUUUGGUGAAGGUAUCGGACUGUUCACAGGAUGCAGCAUAGGAAUUCUAGCCAAUUUCUUCUGACUGUCAAGGGGCAACUGACAAUUGUGUGACAUAUGCAUUAUUUUAUUUAAUCUUCAAGAACCCUGCAGAGAUGAUGAAAUUGAAGUUUAAGCCUUGGCCUCCCAUUUUGAACACCUACAAUGACCACCUCUUCACGUUAUAUGAAAUUGAUGCGUGUGUAUUUGAGUUCUCCAUUAACUUCCUUUUAAUCAAUUGAUACCAAGUUCUUUGACGCCUGCCUAAAUAAAGUACAUUCAGCCUGCA